rnacentral:lncRNA from 1 species
GGACAUGAGAAUUUGUAGAGGAAAGGCUUUCAAGACUAAACGUGGGUCAAAUGUGUUCACAGUUUAACUCAUGCCUUUUGAACAACAGAGACAUACAUCCCUUCAGACUCUGGGAGGACACAUCCACCUUUCAGAAAUGGCACUGAAGUGCAAUACUUUUCAUAGUAAGAGACACACGGCAGGAUGGAGGAGUAAAGAGACAUCAUGCUACAGCUUCCUCUCAAAUGGCUCAGACAAAAAACCCAGAAAAUCUGUAUCUACACAGAGACGGAAUGAUGAAGCAAGUGAGGAAAUGUUAACCACUGGAGAAUCUGGGUAAAGGCUAUGGAGGAAUUCUUUGUACGAUUCAUGCAGCUUUUUGGAAAUUCUGAAAUUAUUUCAAAAUUUAGCAGUUACCCCCCCCCAAAAAAAGAGUCCUAACAUAGAAAAUAUUCAAAGUUGAAAUUUUAUACACAUAAAUGCCAAGACACUGCCAACUAGUAUAUUCCAGGAAUCAGAAAAAUGUGUUUGUGGAAUAAAAGCAAGUAUUUGCAUUAUAGCAAAGAUGACUCUCAAAGAAAAAAAAAAUGUAGAGGUCAAAAGAGACAGAAUAAGAGGUGACAGAAGAAAGUAAUUCCACAAAGAAGUCUCUUUUGAACUACGAGGUGGGGCUGGGAUGGCCGUGCAGCCUGCGGCCAGCUCUCUGGUGCCAUUUUGGGCACAUACUCGAAACUGAGAGAUUUGGGGGCCAGGCCUGGACAAGGAGUCCGAAGAUGAGGGUCUGCCAGACCUGCAGGGGAGAAGUGUGUCCCAGAUCACCCAUCCAGUCCCUUCAAGCUCUGAUGGUGGCCCCGAGUCACAGGUUAUUUAUUCAUCCCCUAGACGAUGGUCCUUAAUGAUAGCCACGUGGGUUACAUUUUUUAAACAACACGGAUAGACAAAGUAGAAAAGGGUUUCCUGGUCCUUGGAAGUAUAAAAUUAUUGACAGGCCUCUUGAUAUUUUUAUUUGAGUAGAACAGAAAUGCUAACUGUGUGCCAAUUUUAAAGCUCCUUUCCAACCGAUGAGUCUAGUUUACCAUCUGGGCGAAUACAGAGAAGAGUACGUCUAUAAUUUGGGCUUAUCUGGAGGGAGGAAAAAAAGUCACACAUUGUUUCUGCAUCACUAAUUCCUAUAGAAAUCUGUAACCAUUACAAAAAGGAACUCAGUGUCACUGGCAUCAUUUUUCUUGUGUACAAGAUAUUAUGCAACGGGGCUCGUUCUCAUCCAGUUUGAAGGAACCACUAGUUUCUUCCCUUCCAAGGUGGGGGAGGAGCUGGGCUGGUGUGAAUGGAUCGCUCUUAGAAGCAGCCCCACCCUCACCCUCACGCUCACACAGCACAGAUAAAUAUAUGGUUUGGCAAAAGCAUAUUGAAUUAUAUUAUGUGCACUUAAUUGAGUCAAGGAAUAAUAGGUCCAUUUUUAUUCCGUUCUCAAGUUGUUUCACGCUCAACAUUCCUUCGUCACAAAGGUUGGCUAAUUGCUCCAAUUUGCCUUGCCAAGUAAUUUGUGCCUAGUAAUUCCAUAAAUGUUUGCAUUUCUGGGUUCCUCCAGAGUAAUUCCACCUCACAGUGUCUCUAAGUCGCCACUUGGAGGGAAAGGAUCCCACAAAGAUGAGUCCUGCCGUCAUACGUGCGUAUUUUGAAUGUCCCCAGAGACAGGGAGAGUAGCACAAUGAUGUCCCGACUGCCGGGGUGCUGCCCACAAACUAUUCAGAGAGAAUUACCAGCCAGUGGGAGGGUGUCUAAGUGGGAGGUUUGUUGUGUGUGUAGAUUUUUUUCCCCUAAAGUAUUUAAAACUAGUUUGAAGUUCAAAUGGGAAGAUUUCCAUUUUAGCUUUUCCUUUAUGGAAAGAAAAGCAGCAUCUUGGUAAGAUUCCACACCAUCAGAUCCACCUUCACUUUAAGAUCUUUGACCCCUUUUCUACCGGUUUUAUUAACAUUUUCUGCUUUAAGCCAUCCUUGUGGAAUUCCACUGUGGCUCAGUGGGUUAAGAACCCAACAUAGUGUCCAUGAGGAUGCGGGUUUCAUCCCCGGCCUCACUCAGUGGAUUAAGGAUCCAGCAUUGCCAUGAGCUGUGGUGUAGGUUGCAGAUGCAGCUCGGAUCCUGCGUUGCUGUGGUUGUCGUUUAGGCCGACAGCUGCAGGUCUGAUUUGACCCCUAGCCUGAUAACUUCCAUGUGCCAUAGGUACAGCCCUAAAAAGAAAAAAAAAUAAUAAUAAGUCAUCCUCAUGGUGUACAAAGAAUGUGUCCCUUUGAGACCUAAACCUUCCUUGUUAAGUGAAAUAUCCUGCCAAAGCCUGGCAUGGCUAUGGCCUUUUGGAUUCUUAUUUUGGGGGUGUUGUAAACAACAGUGCUUACAAACUUAUGCCUGAAGCAUAUCCUAGUGAUGAUAACGGACCCUGGGUCCAAAGGCAGUAUUUAAAUUUUUUUGGUCAGUCAUCCUUAACAGGUGGAUACCUGAGGAGCUGGUGACAUUGAUUAAGACACUUGCACCAUCCUGGACCACCAGACUCACCAUCCUGAGAGGAAGGACGGGAACCAUCUAGUGUAUUCAGGAGAUGGUGUUCAAAGAAAUAUAUCUGCAUAUGAUUAAGAGCCUUCCACACAUUGUCAUCCACUGCAGCCUAACGUGAGUGUCACUAGUAGGUGGCUUUUUUCUUUUCAGCUCACUCUGACUCACAGUUUCAGCCUCACCGACUUAUCCCCAACUUUCCAGCUGCUCUCAGCUCUUCUCAACCUUAACCAUCACCAGACUCCCCUGUCAGGCUAAUAGGCAAUUCUGGCCUUUUAACUUUCUUAACAGGCCAAAAGGACCGUCCACCAUUCCCUCUGACUCAUCUGCUUUCUUUUCCGUGUGGCAGGAGAAGAAAAAAAGAGUUUCAGUCCCAUCCUCCGUCUCUGUGUCAGCAAUUCAAUUGUUCCCUUAGCAACCGUCGCUUUUACUGCCGGCUUUCGAUACACGCUGCUUUCUCAAAGAGCUUGGAGUCACAGAAUAUCUGGUUCAUGCCAGAAGCAGUUUUCGAAAAAGGCCAAUAUCUCUUCUAGAGCAAACUAUUUUUAAAACAAUAUUCUCACAAAACAUAGCAGUUUUAGACAAGGGUGAUAAUGGGGACAGUGCUGAGGAGAUGACGCCUCUUAGGAGUAUUUGGCUGAGAUGGCGGAGGCAGGGAGCUAGGGGGCAGCCCCAGAGUCCUGCUCACCUCCUGGCUCACAGGAAAAAUCAGAAGGGGAGGAGGGAGGAGCAUGGCAGGGUUGGGGGAGAGGGGAGAAAUCCACUGACUUUCCUUUGCUGAUGGAAAAAUCGAGGCAUUAUUUUUGCUUUAGAAGCUCUCCAGAUUUAUCAUUUUUCAAUCUGACUCCUUAGGGGAAGGUACUGCCUUCAAUCAAUCCAGGGUUUUGAAAACUAAGUCCAAGGCAGAGUUCACAAGUGUGGCUUCCUUGAUUAUUCCAUCCAUUUAUUUUCUAAGAGGAUCUCUAAUUUUUUUUUCCCUUUUCCAUAGAAAAGACUCAUUUCCUAGGUCAGCCUCGGUGUGAGAAGCAAAGGGGUCUCCGAUGAUGGAGAUCAUGUGAAUUCUCUUUUAACAUCCCCACCCACUGUGAGAAGGAUCCAGGGGUUCUGAUAUCCUACUUCACAGAUCCAUCUAGAGGAAUAAAAAAUCACCCCAUAAUUUACUCUUUAAUUCGUAAGAGUGAA